CAUAGAUAUUGGGUGUAAGAACUGGCCCACAAGGGAGCUGGUUCCAUCCUGCAAAUUCUCUUUCUGAGUUUCUUGAUCUGUGAAGCAAAGACUGGUCCUACAUCCGAAUUGCCGGCACAAGACAAAAAAAAUGUAUCGGAACAAUUGGACUGUCUGCAUGCGCUAAAUAGGUCUUGAGCUUUGUACAAGAGAUAUUGGGCGUAAAAACUGGCCCACAAGGGAGCUGGCUGCACCCUACAAAUUCUCUUCCUGAGCUUCUUGAUCUGUGAAGCCUAGACUGGUCCUACAUCCAAAUUGCUGGCUAAAAAGAAAAAAUUUGUUUAGGAACAAUUGAACUGUCUGCAUGCUUUUUACGGGGAUGGGUAAAGUAACGUACCCGCGAGAUGAGAACUUGUUCCGGGACUGUCUGCAUUCACUUUUUUUGUCCUCGUGUAUUAUUUUCAACUCACCACGGGGUUUCUUUUACCGCAGUUUUCUAUCUUUUGUUAAAGGGAGUCAAGGAUGAAAUGACCCAAUUGUGAAGGAUACAGAAGUUAACUUAAUCGUGUUUUCGCCAAGCAGGAGCUAAGGCAAAGACCUUGACCGCACAGAAAUUAACGUCAGGGAGACUGGAUACCAGCUUUCGGCGCUGGGAUGUCUGGGAACGUUUGAACAGUCAAGAAAAAAGAGAGCUGUCUCUGGAGUGAAAACAUUCUAGGUAUCAACAGUGAACAGUUUCAAAGUUUGAGAAAAUGGCUUUGGGAACCUUUUGCUCGCUAUCGGGAAAGUUCCUUCG